rnacentral:tRNA from 1 species
GUCCUCGUGGGGUAGUGGUUAUCCCAUCUGAUUCUCAGUCAGAAGAUCGUGGGUUCGAAUCCCACCGAGGAUA